rnacentral:rRNA from 1 species
UACGAAGGGGGCUAGCGUUGCUCGGAAUCACUGGGCGUAAAGGGCGCGUAGGCGGCCAUUCAAGUCGGGGGUGAAAGCCCAGGGCUCAACCCUGGAAUUGCCUUCGAUACUGUUUGGCUAGAGACCGGAAGAGGUAAGUGGAACUGCGAGUGUAGAGGUGAAAUUCGUAGAUAUUCGCAAGAACACCAGUGGCGAAGGCGGCUUACUGGUCCGGUUCUGACGCUGAGGCGGCGAAAGCGUGGGGAGCAAACAGG